rnacentral:rRNA from 1 species
UACGUAGGGUGCGAGCGUUGUCCGGAAUUAUUGGGCGUAAAGGGCUCGUAGGCGGUUUGUCGCGUCGGGAGUGAAAACGCCGGGCUUAACUCGGUGCUUGCUUUCGAUACGGGCAGACUAGAGGCAUGCAGGGGAGAACGGAAUUCCUGGUGUAGCGGUGAAAUGCGCAGAUAUCAGGAGGAACACCGGUGGCGAAGGCGGGUCUCUGGGCCGAUACUGACGCUGAGGAGCGAAAGCGUGGGGAGCGAACAGG